rnacentral:rRNA from 1 species
UACGUAGGGGGCAAGCGUUGUCCGGAAUUAUUGGGCGUAAAGAGCGCGUAGGCGGUCCGAUAAGUCGGCUGUGAAAGUCAAGGGCUCAACCCUUGAAAGCCGGCCGAUACUGUCGGACUAGAGUCCGGAAGAGGCGAGUGGAAUUCCCGGUGUAGCGGUGAAAUGCGCAGAUAUCGGGAGGAACACCAAUGGCGAAGGCAGCUCGCUGGGACGGUACUGACGCUGGAGA